AUAUGAAUAUAUUGGUGCAGGGAUGAAAAGAAAAGAAAAGAAAGUAUUUUGUGGGGUACUAUGUAGUAGCAGAGGCGCAGCGGUUUAACCACCAUGUUUCUUUCUUUCUACAUCAAAAAGGGUAAGUUGAGUUCUCAUCCAUUCCAAGUAGCUGCUUUAUCUGACCAACUUGUGAUGAUUUCCCUCCCUUGAUUCUAUCAUCACACUGAUGUUUAAGGGAUAGAUUUUGAUGAAAUUGUUUGUUUGUGUUUGUAAAGUAAUGCUAUUGAGAUUCUAUGGUCGACUUUUACUAUUAGGAAGACUAUGAACUCCUCUGGCUCUACCUUGACAUAGAUGCAGCAACCAACAACUAGCUGAGAAAAAUAAUAUUAUGAUAUAUGGUAACUGUCAUUGGAUCAUGAGAACCCUCCAACCGAUGGCUCUGAUAUUCUGUUGCACUUUGACUAUGUGAUUAGAAAACCUUACAAGUUUCGUAUCAGAGGGUUUUCUGAGAGCGAUACAUUGAUGACCUCAGAUACCAUUAAUUUUCUUUUGAAGACAUUUAGUGUUGAAAAGGACAAUGAACACAUCACCAUUGGGAAGUGGUUGGCCUAAUAAGGCAUUACUCACAAACGUACAUAAUGUACUACUCAGGAUUUUACUGCUUGUAACAACACUUUGGCUGUUUAAUCUUAUUCUAUGCUAAGGAGUAAUAACAUCAUAGGACUCUAUAAACUUUAUUAAAAGACAGUGAAACUGCCGAAGAAGUUGUUCCUGUUGCCUACGCAAUUCCAUCACUGUCACUGUCACUGUAUCAGUUACAAAUUAAGAUCAUGCAGAAUAAAAUCAUUCACUGUAACUUUUAUGCUCCAAAAAAA